rnacentral:hammerhead_ribozyme from 1 species
AUUCAGCUGACGAGUCCCAAACAGAACGUAACGCGCCUUGUCCUGGAU